rnacentral:lncRNA from 1 species
GAUUGUUGUUAGGAAAAAACACGUAAUUUUCUCAUUUACGAUACAUUUUUCUAAAAACCGUAGAGUGGCGCCACUGCAGUAUUUGUUUGGUCGACAUACCACGUUGGUUGUAGUGAAUGCACCUUGCAGUAAGGCGGUAUUUGAGUUAUAUUUUAGAAGUGCCUAGACAAAAUCUGCUCCUUGUCGUGUGCAGUAACCAUCGCAAACCCUCCGGACUUGUGUAACGCCGUUAGUUCGCCGUGUGUUUCGUGCGAUCUACCAGUGUCGACAGUGAGUGUCUUACUACAGCGCCCGUCCGAGCUGCCUUUGUUCUGCCGAGCUGCCUGCCCGCGCUCUCGUGAAAAGUCUGGUACUGGAGCUUCGAAUCGUAGUGUAUGGAAGACUGUUGAAGGUUGUGCUUUUGUGGAGCUGGAGUUCAUCGGAAGUUCUACAGUGCUUGCGCCAGAAAAACGUCGGUGCCUCGGUACCUUUGAGACGAAGGAGCGUUGGCCAAGUCUUUUUGAAAGGCUAUGCGGAUUCUGGAGGCAUCCCUACAUCAAGCAGGAACCUGCUGCACUGCUGGAAGCUGGACAGCACGACAAUAAAGCACGUGAUCUGUGUGCUUUCUCAAAGGUAGACAUCGGCGACGGUGUAUAUGUUGAAAAGUGCCUGCUGAAGAGGCUGCGCCUGGAUGCUAACAACUCAGGCUUUCAGUUCGCGGGGGGCCUCCUUAAGGCUCCUUUUACAAAAGAAGAGGUUGAAGGGAGGCGCUACACAUGGAUGCGCAGCGAUUGUUUGUGACAUCGUCACUGCUGGCAGGCCUGGCCUGCCUUUUCGCUUCGUUCUGGGUCUUCCACGUUAUC